CAGAUUGAGAAAAACAUGAAUGUGAGGUGUGAAAAAUGUAAUGAUCAAGAUCCAGAUUGAUCUGGAUCAGCCUUUCAGGUGUUAAUGCAGCAAAC